rnacentral:tRNA from 1 species
UGGAGAUUAGUGUAAUUGGUAACACGAGUGACUCUGACUCACUUAUUCUGGGUUCAAGUCCCAGGUCCCCAAC